UACGGUAGGGUCCGAGCGUUGUCCGGAGUUACUGGGCGUAAAGCGCGCGCAGGCGGCGGUGUAAGCAUGGCGUGAAAGCCCCAGGCUCAACCUGGAGGGUCGUCGUGGACUGCACCGCUUGAGGGCGAUAGAGGCUGGUAGAAUUCCCGGUGUAGCGGUGGAAUGCGUAGAGAGUCGGGAAGAAUACCCGUGGCCGAAGGCGGCCAGCUGGGCCAGGUCCGACGACUGAGGCGCGAAAGCGUGGGAGCAAAGCAGG
rnacentral:rRNA from 1 species